UACGGAGGGUGCAAGCGUUAUCCGGAUUCACUGGGUUUAAAGGGUGCGUAGGCGGGUAAGUAAGUCAGUGGUGAAAGCCCGGAGCUCAACUCCGGAACUGCCAUUGAAACUGUGAAACUUGAGGAUGAGAGAGGUGAGUGGAAUUCCCAGUGUAGAGGUGAAAUUCGUAGAUAUUGGGAAGAACACCGGUGGCGAAGGCGGCUCACUGGCUCAUUUCUGACGCUCAGGCGCGACAGCGUGGGGAUCAAACAGG
rnacentral:rRNA from 1 species